rnacentral:rRNA from 1 species
UACGUAGGGUGCGAGCGUUGUCCGGAAUUAUUGGGCGUAAAGGGCUCGUAGGCGGUUUGUCGCGUCUGCUGUGAAAUCCCGAGGCUCAACCUCGGGUCUGCAGUGGGUACGGGCAGACUGGAGUGCGGUAGGGGAGAAUGGAAUUCCUGGUGUAGCGGUGGAAUGCGCAGAUAUCAGGAGGAACACCGAUGGCGAAGGCAGUUCUCUGGGCCGUAACUGACGCUGAGGAGCGAAAGCGUGGGGAGCGAACAGG